rnacentral:rRNA from 1 species
UUGGAGGGCAAGUCUGGUGCCAGCAGCCGCGGUAAUUCCGGCUCCAAUAGCGUAUAUUAAAGUUGUUGCAGUUAAAAAGCUCGUAGUUGAAUUUCGGGAUCAAUUUGUCGGUCGUGCCUCGGUACGUACUGGUAUUAUUGGUUUCUACCUUCUGAAGAACCUUGAUGUCAUUAAUUUGGUGUCUUGGGGAAUCAGGACUGUUACUUUGAAAAAAUUAGAGUGUUUAAAGCAAGCAUACGCUUGAAUACAUUAGCAUGGAAUAAUGAAAUAGGACGUUUGGUUCUAUUUUGUUGGUUUCUAGGAUCGACGUAAUGAUUAAUAGGGAUAGUUGGGGGCAUUAGUAUUCAAUUGUCAGAGGUGAAAUUCUUGGAUUUAUUGAAGACUAACUACUGCGAAAGCAUUUGCCAAGGAUGUUUUCAUUAAUCAAGAACGAAAGUUAGGGGAUCGAAGACGAUCAGAUACCGUCGUAGUCUUAACCAUAAACUAUGCCGACUAGGGAUCGGAUGAUGUUAAUUUUUUAAUGACUCAUUCGGCGCCUUACGGGAAAC